rnacentral:lncRNA from 1 species
UAUUUAUAUAUAGAAAUAUUAUUAUAUAAUAUUUUAUUUAUAAAGUUGUAAUUAUUUAUUAAUAUUUUUAAAUAUAUAACUCUUAUAUAUUAUUAAUAUAUAUUUAUUAUAAUUUUAAAUAUAUUUAAUCUAUAUAUAAAAAUUAUAAUAAUAAUAUAUAUUGUAUAUUAAUUAUUAUAUAUUUGUUAUAUAGCCGAAUUUUUGAUCCCGAAUUUUUAAUUGGUGAACGUAUAAUACCCGUAUAAGUCACGUAUCCGAAUAAUUGCCGAAUCUGUUUUUUAGCCGUAUUCAACGAAUUUAAAAAUUAAAAGGCGAAUUUUAUCCGAAUUAUAUCCGUACCGAAUUUUUGCCGAAUCUGAAUUAACUAACUAUGCCUCCAGCCACCAAGGUUGGUUUAGCUGCGAUCGAUCUCAUCCGUUCAUCUGCUCACUUCCGACGUGCUUAAUUAAUUAAUUGAUAUUUGAAGGGCAAAUAAGAAAAGUAUUUGCUACACGAAGGGUAUAUAAGAAAAGUUUGUUACGGUACAAGGGUAUAUUGAAUAGGCAAAAUGGUAAUUUUUCAGAGAUAACGGCAACUGUUAACAACUCACUAACGGAAUUUAACUCCAGAGGUAAAUUAGAAAGAACUUGGAAUAUAAGAAUGGUAUUUUCAAUAUUAGCCUUCUAAGAGGGGUAAAUAAGAAAACCGGAAACUUUUCAGGGGUAUAUAGGCAAUUGCCCCUAUAUAUAUAUUCUCUCAAAAAGGCCAUUAUAUGCUAUGACCGCUACAGAAAAGGUCAAAAAAAAGAGAAGAAAGAAGAAGAAAAAGAAGAAGAGUUUCACUAUUUGAAACGAAGUUGCACUAUUUUAGACUAAGUUGCAAUAAAGUUACAUUGUUUGAAACUAAAUUGCAUUGUUUGAGACUGAAUU